rnacentral:rRNA from 1 species
GAUGAAUGCUGGCGGCGUGCCUAACACAUGCAAGUCGAGCGGCAGCGCGAGUAGUUUACUACUUGGCGGCGAGCGGCGGACGGCUGAGUAACGCGUGGGAACGUGCCCCGAAGUGAGGGAUAACGCACCGAAAGGUGUGCUAAUACCGCAUAUGAUCUUCGGAUUAAAGAAUUUAUUCGCUUUGGGAGCGGCCCGCGUCGGAUUAGGUAGUUGGUAGGGUAAUGGCCUACCAAGCCGACGAUCCGUAGCUGGUCUGAGAGGAUGACCAGCCAGACUGGAACUGAGACACGGUCCAGACUCCUACGGGAGGCAGCAGUGAAGAAUCUUCCACAAUGGGCGAAAGCCUGAUGGAGCAACGCCGCGUGCAGGAUGAAGGCCUUCGGGUUGUAAACUGCUUUUAUAAGUGAAGAAUAUGACGGUAACUUAUGAAUAAGCACCGGCUAACUACGUGCCAGCAGCCGCCGUAA